ACUCACUUGUAGACUAUUUUGAGGUUUUUCCAGUAACCUAGACCCCUUUGCCACAUAUUGCAAUCCAAAAACAUGGAUUCUCCAAACUUGCUUGACAUGUAAGCAAUAAGCUAGUAUCAUUUUAAACCAUUUAGGGCAGAAAAUGUCUGCUAAAAUUUCUAUUUUAUGCUAAUUACAGUGCAUUCAAUCCUACUAAAUUAGCGUCAGAAGAACAGUGUUCCUUCACAUUUUAAAAAUGACUACACGGACCGCAAACUACCGCUGCUGCUAACUGUCUGCAGCCAUCUAUCGUCAAUCACUGCUUCUCGCUAUAAUGAAAGCUAUCCAGUGUGAUGACCAGAUGCAUGCACGCGUUUGUACGUCUGGGCAGUUCGGAAACCACACGCACAACAACUGCACUGUUCUCGUCAGGAUGGAAACAUGCUGUACCAGGAAGACCUAGUGUGCUAGCAGACUAACAAAGUAUCCAGUGUGUGUGAGAGAGUUUCUGUCUCUGAGUGUCAGUGUGCCACUCUGUUAAAAAACCUCCGCUGUCCGUAUUGGUGCACUGCUGCAGGUGCGGGUGGUUUACGCAGCAGUUAAUGGCGUUCACAGCUUGGCGCCUUUCAGUGAGCAGAGCAAGGCUGAAGUUAACAAUGUUUCCCUUUUUGAGAGGAAACGAGAGCGCAUCCGCAUCCAGUUAUUCAUGGUUAUUUCAAAUCCAGCAAUGGUCUGACCUCAAAGUCUAGUCCUGCUCCAGUACUGUCUCUUAUUCUGGAACUUGACUGUAAUGAUUUGAAUACCACUGGGCUGUUUUUUUUUUUUUUUUUUGUUUGUUUUCUUUUUAACAUGCAUAUCACUGAUUAUAUUCACUAGUUAGACAACUUGAACGUCAGAGCACUGGGCGGGCCAGUAAUUACUGGAAAAGAAUAAAUGAACACAAAAAAUACCUCACCCAAACAGACAUACACAAACUGCUUGUGUCGCAAGUUCAGUGAUAGAGGAACUGAGGGAGUGUGGGCGUGCUGUGUCUGGCAUUUAGCUGGCUAUCCUCCCAGCCACGCUCUUUCAUCACAAAUGGCGGGUGGUGCCCAAGUGGAGCGAGAACCUCUUUACUGCGAGAGUUGAGAACAUCAUUUUGAGGUUUUGGUCACUUUUCUUUUAUAUACUUGACUUUUCUUUUUUUUUUUUUAUUCUUUGAAAUGAUCUUCGAUUGUGUUCUGCACUAUUUCACUUCAAUAUGGUGAUGCAAUAACUGCUUUCGUCAUCCAGUGAGUAUGCCCACUUGAGGAUUGCAGGAGGAAAGCCAGUUUGUUGCUGGAGUUUGUAUUUUGUUGUAGCAGAAGUAGCCCAAUUAAAUUAUAACGAAUGAUUUUAUGAGCAUUUUGUUUUCUGCCUGAUCAAGUUCUAAUUUAUGCAUGAAAAUCAGAAUAAUUAAAUCAAUGAUUAAAUUAAAUAAAUAAUAAAAUCAGAAUUCGCAGAAUACCCAUAUUAAAAAAUAUACCGGUCGAAAAGCUAUAUUAGGUAGCAGCGAUGUGGUUCUGUAGAGGUUUCUUGAUUUGAGUACAUCUUCAGACCUCUAUGAACUGACAAAUAUAUGACUGCUCCUAUUUUAGAUUGUAUUGUUGUUUAUAUUUUCUAACCUUCUGGUUUUUCCUCCUUCCAUCUCCUUGUGCCUCAGGGAAGCAUCCAGCUGCAAACUAAUUUCCCCUCCCUGAAACGUAGCUGCUAUCAUUGAGCCUGUCUUCAUCCAUCCCCCUCUCCCUCUUUGUCAAUCUUUCACCUUAAUCUCCAUAAUGCAGUCUCUGGCAGGACCUGCUAUAUGUGCUUUGUCCAGGGCUACGUGGGCUCCAGCAGUGGAUGAUGAGCAGGUAUGGGCACUCUCCUCGCUCUACUAGCAAUUGCAGACAGCACAGCGUGAAGGUCACUACACAAAAGCACACGUUAGGAUGGGUCAAGAUUUGGAUCAACCUGUAAAUCAAGAGCUUCGUCUUCUGGCUCAGCUCUUUUUUUUUCCCAGAUGACAGCCUGAUACUGCAUUGUUCACUUACUAGUGACCCAAGAGCUCCUCCAUCUGAGGUAACUCUUUACUCUUGACCCGCAGGGUCCAAUUCAACCUUUAUCGACUGAGAACCAUGGCGCUGACUCUCAUCCCAACAGCUUCAGAUUCAGCAAUGAAACAUCCUACCAAAUACUGAAUGUCACAGUUCGAAAAAGGACGCCAGGCCCAUCAUUGUCUGCACAUAUCAGAGAUUACCUCGUUUGUUGAAUUCAUAUAUGUUUUCUAUGCAAGCGAUGAUCUAAAGCAAUGUCUUUGCGUACCUUAGUUGUCCAAGGUAAUGUUCACAAAUUUCGAUUAUGAGUUGAAGUGGGUAAAGUUUUAACUUUACCCACACAUUAGGUAUUCUACUCUACUACCAACAACAGUGUUGUGCUUUAUUGCAACAUGCUGGGAAAUUAAUGAUGAGUAGCAUGGAGAAAGACCUCAAUUUUGUAGCCGCUGCGGGGGGGCAUUAAUAACACAAAAGCCAUACACAAUAAGGAAGCCUGACCGCUAGCUUUUAUUGAUAAUUGAAUUACAGAGUGACAAGCCCAAUGCGCCACAGAAAAAAAAAAACAUUAUUAAUUUAAAUGCAUCGUCACAGAACAAAAUGUAUCUCAAAGGGAAUUAUCCAGUUGGAGAGCAUACUGACUAAGAACCAUGGAAGUUCAAUCAUGCUCCAACAAUUACUACAUCAACCAUUUCCGUCAUUUUAUUACUUUCUCUUACCAGCAUAUACAUGUUGAAAUAUUGAUAUAUCACAACUGUUAACAGGAAGAAAGGAUGACAGAAUAAAACAGUGGUAGGCAAAUUGGCAGAUGAGGGUGGCAAAGCUGGAGUUGAAUGGAUUCAAAUUCUGUUGUCAGAAUGAGUCCAUUAAUACUGGUCUUUAAAAGUGUUGCUAUAACUUUCUACAAUGUAUGCCACAAGUAAUGAGCUACCAUGUCAUCCAUUAAGUCUAAUUUGAAUUUUAGAUCCCUUUGCUCGGACAACUCAGAGAACACUAACUCCAGCAGAGACUUCAUCAACAAUGGCUUGUGAGAGAGGAUGAGUGUGUGUGUGCAUAUUUUGUACGUAUAUCCGGCUGCGGGCAUUUGGAUGUGCCCCUGUUGAUGAACUCAAUUAAUGGCAGCCCCAAACAGUGCAGUCAAUAAUCCAAUUGGUGGUUAUUGCCACUUCUCUGGUAACAAAUAUCUGACACUGUGAUUUUUGUUUAAUGGCUAAUUCGGUGCGAGUGUAAGAGUUAGUUGACAAUACACAUUUUCUUCCUGUGACUGCGAAGGUUGUUUCUGGAUAAUCCGGUUUCCUCCCAUAUUUGAAAAGCAUGCAUACUAGUUUAGUAGACCCUUCAAAAAUUGCUUGGAGGUGUGGCUGUGAGUGCAAACAGUUGUACAGUAUGUCUCUAUAGCCCUAUUCAAUGUUCCAUAUAAAAAAGCAAGCACGUGGAAUUGGGGCCAAGGUGAACCUAGCAAUUGUCUGGCUUCAGAAAUAGGAUAAGAGCAGCAAUAAAGGUGUGACGACCCGUGCGUAUGGGCUUUCUGGAAAGUCAAGGUCAGGGUGUGAAGAUGACCACAAUAGUCACAGUCUGCUAUUUUAUUUUUAUAAGUCACUUUAUUAUCAUUAUCACACAUGUAAUUAUCUGAUCACAGGGCGCAAAGUCCUUACAUGAAAACACACAACAUACCAAUACGUAUAAAGGACAGAGGAGGAUAAAUGUCUAAUCUUAUGAUGCAUCAACAGGUGAAUAAAUUUCUGAUAUUUUGA